AGAAGCCUGAGGCAGAGAGACACUGCCAGCUGCCGCCAUGACCAGCAACAUGUGAAGACACCGAGUUUUCUACUUUUCAUUUUCCAUUUGAGGCUUUGAAAUAUUGAAUGACAUAAUGUUGGUGAUAACUACAAUUUUUUCCUGGGAGAAAUGAGUUCCUUUUACUUCACAUGGACUCUUAGGUUGUGCUGAUGCAUAUCAUCCUAUACACUUAGAAAUGCCUGAAAUUUUUACAUAUAUUGUAAGUCCUUGCCAUUCUGUACUGGAGAUAUAUAUGCACUGAUAAAAG